CAGCAGCCGCGGUAAGACAGAGGAUGCAAGCGUUAUCCGGAAUGAUUGGGCGUAAAGGGCUCGCAGGCGGUUUCUUAAGUCUGAUGUGAAAGCCCCCGGCUCAACCGGGGAGGGUCAUUGGAAACUGGGAAACUUGAGUGCAGAAGAGGAGAGUGGAAUUCCACGUGUAGCGGUGAAAUGCGUAGAGAUGUGGAGGAACACCAGUGGCGAAGGCGACUCUUUGGUCUGUAACUGACGCUGAGGAGCGAAAGCGUGGGGAGCGAACAGGAUUAGAGACCCGAGUAGUCCCUGUCUCUUAUAC
rnacentral:rRNA from 1 species